rnacentral:rRNA from 1 species
AUAUUGCACAAUGGGCGCAAGCCUGAUGCAGCCAUGCCGCGUGUAUGAAGAAGGCCUUCGGGUUGUAAAGUACUUUCAGCGGGGAGGAAGGUGUUGUGGUUAAUAACCGCAGCAAUUGACGUUACCCGCAGAAGAAGCACCGGCUAACUCCGUGCCAGCAGCCGCGGUAAUACGGAGGGUGCAAGCGUUAAUCGGAAUUACUGGGCGUAAAGCGCACGCAGGCGGUCUGUCAAGUCGGAUGUGAAAUCCCCGGGCUCAACCUGGGAACUGCAUUCGAAACUGGCAGGCUGGAGUCUUGUAGAGGGGGGUAGAAUUCCAGGUGUAGCGGUGAAAUGCGUAGAGAUCUGGAGGAAUACCGGUGGCGAAGGCGGCCCCCUGGACAAAGACUGACGC